rnacentral:rRNA from 1 species
ACGAACGCUGGCGGCGUGCUUAACACAUGCAAGUCGAACGGAAAGGCCCCUUUGGGGGUACUCGAGUGGCGAACGGGGGAGUAACACGUGAGUAACCUGCCCUUGACUUCGGGAUAACUGCAGAAAACUGGGGCUAAUACCGGAUAGGAAUCCUUGCUGCAUGGUGGGGGGUGGAAAGCUUCGGCGGUUUUGGGUGGACUCGCGGCGUAUCAGCUGGGUGGUGGGGUAGUGGCUUACCAAGCAUUUGACGGGUAGCCGGCCUGGGGGGGCGACCGGCCACGUUGGGACUGAGAUACGGCCCAGACUCCUACGGGAGGCAGCAGUGGGGAAUAUUGCACAAUGGGCGGAAGCCUGAUGCAGCAACGCCGCGUGCGGGAUGACGGCCUUCGGGUUGUAAACCGCUUUCAGCAGGGGCGAAGCUUGUGGUGACGGUACCUGCAGAAGAAGCACCGGCUAACUACGUG